rnacentral:rRNA from 1 species
CUAACACAUGCAAGUCGAACGGCUCUUCGGAGCAGUGGCGGACGGGUGAGUAACGCGUGGGAACGUGCCCUUUGGUUCGGAACAACACAGGGAAACUUGUGCUAAUACCGGAUGUGCCCUUCGGGGGAAAGAUUUAUCGCCAUUGGAGCGGCCCGCGUUGGAUUAGGUAGUUGGUGGGGUAAUGGCCCACCAAGCCGACGAUCCAUAGCUGGUCUGAGAGGAUGAUCAGCCACACUGGGACUGAGACACGGCCCAGACUCCUACGGGAGGCAGCAGUGGGGAACCUUGCGCAAUGGGCGAAAGCCUGACGCAGCCAUGCCGCGUGAAUGAUGAAGGUCUUAGGAUUGUAAAAUUCUUUCACCGGGGAAGAUAAUGACGGUACCCGGAGAAGAAGCCCCGGCUAACUUCGUGCCAGCAGCCGCGGUAAUACGAAGGGGGCUAGCGUUGCUCGGAAUUACUGGGCGUAAAGGGCGCGUAGGCGGACAGUUAAGUCAGAGGUGAAAGCCCAGGGCUCAACCUUGGAAUUGCCUUUGAUACUGGCUGUCUUGAGUUCGGGAGAGGUGAGUGGAAUGCCGAGUGUAGAGGUGAAGUUCGUAGAUAUUCGGCGGAACACCAGUGGCGAAGGCGACUCACUGGCCCGAUACUGACGCUGAGGCGCGAAA